GAUCCUGGCUCAGGAUGAACGCUAGCGGCAGGCUUAACACAUGCAAGUCGAGGGGCAGCAUAAUGGAUAGCAAUAUCUAUGGUGGCGACCGGCGCACGGGUGCGUAACGCGUAUGCAACCGUACCUUUAACAGGGGGAUAACACUGAGAAAUUGGUACUAAUACCCCAUAAUAUCAUAGAAGGCAUCUUUANGGUUGAAAUUCCGAUGGUUAGAGAUGGGCAUGCGUUGUAUUAG
rnacentral:rRNA from 1 species